rnacentral:tRNA from 1 species
GUCGUUUUAACUAAGUGGUAGAGCAACGUCAUGGUAGGGCGUAAGUAAUCGGUUCAAAUUCGAUAAGGGGCU